AGUUUGAUCCUGGCUCAGAUUGAACGCUGGCGGCAUGCCUUACACAUGCAAGUCGAACGGUAACAGGUCUUCGGAUGCUGACGAGUGGCGAACGGGUGAGUAAUACAUCGGAACGUGCCCGAUCGUGGGGGAUAACGGAGCGAAAGCUUUGCUAAUACCGCAUACGAUCUACGGAUGAAAGCAGGGGACCGCAAGGCCUUGCGCGGACGGAGCGGCCGAUGGCAGAUUAGGUAGUUGGUGGGAUAAAAGCUUACCAAGCCGACGAUCUGUAGCUGGUCUGAGAGGACGACCAGCCACACUGGGACUGAGACACGGCCCAGACUCCUACGGGAGGCAGCAGUGGGGAAUUUUGGACAAUGGGCGAAAGCCUGAUCCAGCCAUGCCGCGUGAGUGAUGAAGGCCUUAGGGUUGUAAAGCUCUUUUGUCCGGGACGAUAAUGACGGUACCGGAAGAAUAAGCCCCGGCUAACUUCGUGCCAGCAGCCGCGGUAA
rnacentral:rRNA from 1 species